AGUUCUGAUCCCAUAGAAACCCUCGACACAUGUAAUACUCUCUCUUCCCUUGUUGCUGCACUCAGAAAGCUGUUUUAACCCCUCUUCUGCUGGACACAGCUCACACUCAGCACGCUCCUCCCUUGGAUCAAUCCUCUGGACUGCAGGUUGAGAAUCAAAUUGCCUGCGUGCCCUGAAGUCGGAGAAUCAAAUGAAGAAGUUUACCGCGUGGAGACUUCAAAUUUUACUUGAACUAAGUCUAAAAAAUGACCAGAGAACUUUUUACUGUGGAUGGUGCAAAAAACCUCCACCAAGAAGGAUGUACUACCACUGCUGCUGGAGCCUGAAUAGAUGGAGUGCACAUCUCCUAUGGAGACAGCAGCACGUGCUUCACCUAAGACCAAGAUGUGUAAAGCAUGUUCCAGUGUCUUGUUUGAAGUGGAAGAUGUAGAUACCAAAGAUGUAGAUACCAAAGAUGGUGCUGACCCACACAACUGCAGCAAAUACCUUCAGCUGAACCCCACCAUAAAGAAAACAAAACCACUGUCUGUUCAGGAACUAGACUUGGAAAGAUUUACAGCAAGGCUUGGGCAAGAGGUAAAUCAUAAACAAACCAAAAUAGAAAAGAGUCUUCUGCACCCUCCUGAACCUGGAAGAGAUGUUAGGCAGAUGAGUUUAUUCCACAUUUAAAUCUAAACUUUGUUACUGUAAUCUCAUUGUAAUUUAAACUUUUAAAUUAUAGUUUCUGUGAAAUCACAUAUCACGUAUCUAAAAAGGACCACAGAGAUAAGGUAAAGGUACCUUCUUGUGAGCCAUAGCUGUAAUAGCCAAUUCGCCGUCCAGCCAGUCAGUGUGCCAGAAAGGUACCAUUGAUUCUGAAUUAAUACGUGCUGAAGAUUUCUCCAGCUUAAAAUGUGGCAAAUGGAAUAAGAAGUGAAGAUGAGGCAGUGUUGGAGUAGCUUGCAAUGUAGGUAAGCUUUGCAUAAUAUGAGACUGUCCUUCCAAAAGCUUGGGAUCCAGACUCAUGAAUAAGAAAUCUUAACAUUUCUUCUUGGAUUUGAAGUAAGGACUGGAAAUCGGUGUGGUUUUUGUCUCAGAAGAAAGGCCUUCAUUUCUGGCUUCCCCAGAAAACGUGUUAAAGCUGAGAUUUUAAAUUUAGUCACAAGAACUUGAAGGGCUCUGAGGAAGCAUCAAGGCCGUCCUCCUGCCCUGGGGUGGUGUAACUGACUGCUUCUGUGUCACUCCCGGCAGAUGCUUGUCUCAUUUUUGUUUAAAAACAUCAUUUGGGGAAACUGUACAGUACGUCCAGGAAAUAUCUUCCUCCCAUGUUUCACCAUUUUUGCCACACAACAGCUCUUUCUUAAGAUCCAGUCUGACUCUUCUUUCCUGUAACCUAAACCUGUUAUUUCUCAUCCUGUUCACUGUGGCUUAGACCAGCCUUGAAUCCAUUCCUCUUUUCUGCAGCCUUUAAUGCGACUACAAACUAUUAUCAUCUCAACGUAAACAUACCUGACUGUUUCCUUUGCUGGCUUAAAAAAGCUGGUUAAUUAUCCUGCUAGAUUAUGGCUUCUUGAUUUGUCAUCACAUCUAGAUCUUUGCCACAUGGCUCACGGAAGAGGUGCCCUGAACAGGGACUACCUGGAGCCU
ensembl:lncRNA